GAUGAACGCUGGCGGCGUGCCUAAUACAUGCAAGUCGAGCGAGCAGACGAGGAGCUUGCUCCUCUGACGUUAGCGGCGGACGGGUGAGUAACACGUGGAUAACCUACCUAUAAGACUGGGAUAACUUCGGGAAACCGGAGCUAAUACCGGAUAAUAUAUUGAACCGCAUGGUUCAAUAGUGAAAGACGGUUUUGCUGUCACUUAUAGAUGGAUCCGCGCCGCAUUAGCUAGUUGGUAAGGUAACGGCUUACCAAGGCAACGAUGCGUAGCCGACCUGAGAGGGGGAUCGGCCACACUGGAACUGAGACACGGUCCAGACUCCUACGGGAGGCAGCAGUAGGGAAUCUUCCGCAAUGGGCGAAAGCCUGACGGAGCAACGCCGCGUGAGUGAUGAAGGUCUUCGGAUCGUAAAACUCUGUUAUUAGGGAAGAACAAAUGUGUAAGUAACUAUGCACGUCUUGACGGUACCUAAUCAGAAAGCCACGGCUAACUACGUG
rnacentral:rRNA from 1 species